rnacentral:rRNA from 1 species
CUACGGGGCGCUGCAGUGAGGAAUCUUGGACAAUGGGGGAAAUCCUGAUCCAGCGACGCCGCGUGGGUGAUGAAGGCCUUCGGGUUGUAAAGCCCUGUCAGAGGGGACGAACCCGUCACGUAGAAAUGCGUGGCGCUGACGGUACCUUCAGAGGAAGCACUGGCUAACUCCGUGCCAGCAGCCGCGGUAAUACGGAGAGUGCAAGCGUUGCUCGGAAUCACUGGGCGUAAAGGGCACGUAGGCGGCUUGGUAAGUUGGAUGUGAAAGCACACGGCUCAACCGUGGAGGGUCAUCCGAAAGUGUCUGGCUCGAGUUUGGGAGAGGGAAGUGGAAUUCCCGGUGUAGAGGUGAAAUUCGUAGAAAUCGGGAGGAACACCAGUGGCGAAGGCGACUUCCUAGACCAAUACUGACGCUGAGACCCGAAAGCGUGGGGAGCAAACAGGAUUAGAUACCCCAGUAGUC